CACCAGGCCACAACAAUGGCCGCCACCAAUGUUCCAGUCCCCGGAGAGGUCUCACCUCUCACCGAGAUGCACUCAGGGCCUAUCAGGGAGUGCUAGAAUUGCUCCUCUGGAAAUCUGGACUUCCACAAAGAUGCUCCCAUUUGUAGCUGUCUGCCCAAGAAAGUGUUCUCCAGGUGAUUCCAGACCACAGAUGAGUGAGACUGGAACCAGUUCAUAUUCUCCUGCAGUUUCCACAACCAGUACCAAGGAGAUCCAUGAAGGUGGGCAUUGGACAAGUUUACCCCAAAUGGUGGCAGAAGCAACUAGCACUUAUGGGAGGAGAGUGUCAAUCAGCAAUAGCAAUUACCUGAGUCUGUGCUGUGGCAGCAAGAUAACAAUGGUGAGAAUGGAUGAAUUCAGGGUGUGACACAUGUCUAGAUGCUGGUGACAUAGCAGUGAACAAAAGAGACAAAAUCCUUUGUUCUCAUGGAGCUUAUUUUCUAGCAGAAUGAGAUGCCAAAUAAGCAAAAUGAAUAAGUAAGUUAUAGAGUAUUUUAGAAGAUGAAAUAUUACGGAAAAAAUAAAGCAUGCUAAAGGAGACGAGUGCUGUAGUAGUUGGUUGCAAUUUUAAAUAGGGUGGUCAGGGUAAGUCUCACUGAGUUAAUAUUUGAGCAAAGAUUUGAAAGGGGUGAAGGAGCAAGUCAUUUGUCUAUUUCAACCAAGAGCAUUACAGGAAGAGGAAAUACCAAGUACAAAGGUCCUGAGGUGAAAACAUGCCUGGUAUGUUCGAGGAACAAGGAUGUCAGAGGUGUUGUUGAUUGAGAUGAUGAAUACGAGAGGAAAUCAUAAAGUUAUAAGGUCUUGUAGGCCAUUUGAAAGACUUCGGAUUUUAUUCUGAGAGGAUGUCAUUAGAGGAUUUUAUGUGGAAGAAACAUAUGAGCUGACUUAGGUAUUAAAAGGAUUACUUUGACUUUUUGAGAAUAGACUGUAGGAGAGCACGAGUAGAAGCAGUUAAAAAGCUAUUAAAAUAAACAAAUUGAGAGAUGGCAGUGGCUUGGACCAGGGUAAUAGCACUGGAAGGAGUGACAAGUAGUUGGUUGGAGAUAUAGUACAUGGGUAGGGCUAACAAGAUUUCCAGAUCAAUUUUAUUUAAGAAGUACAAGGAAGAGAGAAGUCAAGGAUGAUUUCAAGCUUUUUAUUCCAUGCAAGUAGAAGAAACUGAAAUGAACAGAAGUGGAGAAAAAUAAAAACAUCCAAGAGAAAAUGUCACGUUGGCAGUUGAAGAGUGGUAUAGAUGGUAAUACAGCCGUGCAGUGAGAUGAAAUCACAUAGGGGGUGAGUGUAGAUUGAGAAGAGAAAUGACCUAAGAAUUGAACCCUUGGAGUAUCUAAUCUUUAGAGGAUCAAAUGAGUAGGAGAAACAAAAAAUAAGACUAAAAAGGAGUGACCAUGUGGUAGGUGGAGAGCCAAGAAUGUGUGGUGUCCUGAAAGUCAAGUGAAAAAGUGUUUCCAGGAGGAGAGAGUGAGCAAUUAUGUCAAAAUAUGUGUAAGUCAAGUAAGAUAA